CCCUAGCGCCGCCGCUCCGAUAUCCAUCGACGACGCAGCUCCGCCGCUAACGUCCACAGAUCAUAGUUUCUCUCCGCUUCUUCCAUCUACUCCUACCACAAUCUUUUCCAGCCACUUCCUGAAACUCCCAGGCCACUCCACCCUAGAUCGUUGAUCGAUGUCGUCGAUCUGGAAGUUCCCGUUUCGAGGGCAUGCCAGAAGGAAGAAUACCCCAGCCUGUGCGUGUGGUUGAGCCCAUAUGACCAAGCUACAGGCCCGUUCGAGGAUUGUUGCGGUCACUACUGUAAGCAACGGCUUUGUCGUGCUUCAGAUGCCCCCGGUGUGGAGGACGAGGACCAUGUAGGAGUUCAAGGGCUGGUUCAAUCUCAACUUCAGGUUGGCAUACCAUGAAAUUCCCGAUCUGUUUGGAUCACUCUAUGAUCUGGACUUGUGGUACUCCAUGGUGUGGAGCUUCAUGGACUGAUGGAUAUGUAAUUACCUAACUGCAGCAUUGAAGAAAAUGGGGGCAACUACCAUGACCCUCUCACUUCAUUGAUACACCCUUUGAUGGUAUAGAAGACCAAUAAAGGUUUCAGUUUCCCCAUCUUCACCUAACAAUGUAGUGUUUUUUAUAUGUAAUAUCUCUAACAAUCUUUGUCUGCUUAUACAUGGUUUUUACUAAGCCUAUGCAUACACAGUUUUAGCCACUUUUUGGUGUGAAACCAUCCCAGACCGUAGUCAGAUGAUUUGGAUGGUUUGGUUUUCAGGUUUCCACGGGUUGAACCGUUGAAGAAUAGUGGUCGACGUCAUGACCACGGUGACGGCCAACGGACUCGCUCGAGGCUGGAUCUUCUAAUGGCCUGAUCAGUCUACCUCGCCGAUGGCUAGAGGACUCACCGGUUCUGCUGCUUUCUUGCCGCCACCGGCGUGGGUACCGCAUGGAUGCUGAAGGACUCUGUUGCUUGCUCGCCUGGCUACUGCAAGGCUACUGACAAGCUAUACUGCGUGUUCUCUGGCAUAUUGGCAAGAUAAGUGGAUGUUAUGGAUGACAUUAUGAAUGCAACUUGCAAGGUGUAACAUGUCUUUAUCUGUCAAUACUCCUUGUGCACUAGCCAGACCACCAAUUUGCGUUGGCAUACCACCAAAGCCAGUAUGCCUCAUUGAUAAUUUUUUAAGUCACAGAGAUCCGCAUGACUUUGCUAUAUUCGGAUCUGAGGCCUCGGCGUGUUAGGCAUACUAUUAAAAACAAUAGAUAUAGGAUUAGGUAGAAUACUAUAUUAUGAUUUGCAACAUUGUAAAUGUUCUACUCUUGAGACACGUAUAUCAUGUAUGAGAUGGUGGUUCCAAUUAUAAAUGUUGAA